CUUGUACACACCGCCCGCCACACCAUGGGAGCGGGUUCUGCCAGAAGUAGUUAGCCUAACCGCAAGGAGGGCGAUUACCACGGCAGGGUUCGUGACUGGGGUG
rnacentral:rRNA from 1 species